UUGUGGAGGAGGACGCCGAAGGUGGGGCUAAUGACUGGGGUGAAGUCGUAACAAGGUAGCCGUACCGGAAGGUGCGGCUGGAUCACCUCCUAACAGGGAGACAACAAAAUGUUAAAUAUUAAUUUUGUCACCUUAGGUCGAUCGGUAUCUCACAUUCUUAAUUUUUUGAGAAUUUUAUUUCCUAAGUUUUUCUAGGUCACACCCAUUAUUUUUCCUGGGCCAUUAGCUCAGGUGGUUAGAGCGCACCCCUGAUAAGGGUGAGGUCCCUGGUUCAAGUCCAGGAUGGCCCAUAUCUCUAUGUUGGGGGUAUAGCUCAGUUGGUAGAGCGCCUGCUUUGCAAGCAGGAUGUCAGCGGUUCGAGUCCGCUUACCUCCACUGAUUACCACCUCUUCCAUAAUCUUGAGAAAGGAAAUGUUUUGAGUUGUGAUCAAAUUCUGAACGAAGCUAGCUUCCUAAUGAAAUCAUUAAGAUGCUGGACUCAUUGAAUUAAUUUCAUCGUUUUCAGAGAACCUUGACAACUGCAUAGAUUAUUUUUAAAGACAAUAAGCAUCUUUAUUGAUGCAGAUUUAUUAUUUGUGCGAAUGCAUUAAUAACAAUUCUAUUAAGCUGAUGCUUCAAUUUUGAAGUUAUUGGUCAAGCUACAA
rnacentral:misc_RNA from 1 species